UGCUUGGACCUUGCUGCCCUCCUUCUUUGUCACUAUGGAGACACAGGAAGGCAUGUUUAUUAGCAAAGACUGACUGGGGUCACACCCAAAACAAUAUCAGAUUUUCACCUCUCCUGGACCUGGGAAGAGGUCCAAGGAUUGAGGACUAGCU
ensembl:misc_RNA